AGAAGCAGCAGAGCAAGCAUUUGUGGUUUCACAUAACAGCAAAGAGAGACCAGCAGGCAAGAAAAGGGUAUUGACCGCUACAGGAUUGCUCUCUGCAUGUUGCUAACAAUAUAGCAGACUACUCCGUUGCCAACCAUACAGAGCAGGAAGAUGAGGAGGUAAGAGACAAUGAAGACAGCUGCCACUGAGGGCUGAUGAUGGUAGAAGUCCACGUAAGAGACAUUGCCUUCUAAGUAGAGGUGGAGCUUUUAAGACAGGCGUUCCAGACUAGGGAAGAUUGCAUUUACUUUGCACUCUGUUGUUCAUGAUCCAUGCUGUCGCAAUGAAACCCUGCAGAUAAGACAGGUGCACUGUGUCCAUAAAGAUGAGAUGGCAUAUAGCACUAGUGACAAGAAAACACCAGCAGUUUUAGUGGCAAGCUCCUGAAGCAGAUUGUGAUGUUGCUGUUGCAUGGCAUGUGGCUGUAGGAAUAUUCACAUGGUAUCCGGUGAAGAUAAUUAUCCUCUCUUCUCUACGUACUAGAGCAAGUGUUCCCGAAAGGUAUCCUGCCCAGGAAGAGCAUGAACCCAGAAACUCGAGAGUUUCAGCGUUUAGCUUCAUUGUCUUGCUGUGACACUGCACUGGAUAGACUUGAAAACUGGAUUUUGGCUAUGGGAGACUACAUGAGAGA